rnacentral:rRNA from 1 species
UACGUAGGGUGCAAGCGUUGCCCGGAUUUAUUGGGCGUAAAGGGCGCGUAGGCGGCUCGGCACGUCCGUUGGGAAAUCGCCCGGCUCAACUGGGCGGGGUCAGCGGAUACGGUCGAGCUUGAGCAAGCUAGGGGGCAAUGGAAUUCCCGGUGUAGUGGUGGAAUGCGUAGAUAUCGGGAGGAACACCAGUGGCGAAGGCGGUUGCCUGGGGCUUUGCUGACGCUGAUGCGCGAAAGCGUGGGGAGCGAGCCGG